CUCUCCCCAGGUACCACCCCGCCUCGCCCAGAUCUGCCGAGUGGGUAGGAACAGCUGGUCAUCCUAUACCCCACAUGUGUUGUUUAAUUUUGAUUGGGUUUUCUUCUAUUCUGUUCGUGUAGUAGAUGCAUGUCAGAGACUGAUGCCCCGUCCUUUGAUACUCCAGUUCUGAUUAUUAAUCUCCCUUUUAAACAUUUUUAGGUGUCCUAUCUCCGGCGUUCUUGAGCACCAUUGGGUCGAGGAAGGAGAAGCCAUCCUAUGGACUAGAACAGUUUGUGUGAGAUUUUAUUUUCUGGUGGGUUUAUUAGUUGGCUUGGAAAUGCUCCCUUGACAUUGUCCCAUUCAUCAACACAAAGAUUGUCAGCCUUUACCCAAUUGCAAGAUCUUCAGAAUAAAAAAGGGGAGACUGAGACCGGUAGAAAAGAGAUUCUUCAGUACACAAUAUAUGCAUCUGUUGAUUUUGCAAUUGUCCAGCGGCGAGGCCAACCAGGGACUCAAAAUGUCCGGUGAGAGCAUCCAAUAGCGGAAAGUCAUCCGAAGAAUCAUGUCCAGUGAGUAGUCCAGCUCCAGCAACAAGACCACAUCUGGUUUCCACCAACAAGCUGGACCAGCAGCAUUGUACUCGGGUAAGC